AACAGGAUUAGAUACCCUGGUAGUCCACGCCGUAAACGAUGUCGACUUGGAGGUUGUGCCCUUGAGGCGUGGCUUCCGGAGCUAACGCGUUAAGUCGACCGCCUGGGGAGUACGGCCGCAAGGUUAAAACUCAAAUGAAUUGACGGGGGCCCGCACAAGCGGUGGAGCAUGUGGUUUAAUUCGAUGCAACGCGAAGAACCUUACCUACUCUUGACAUCCAGAGAACUUAGCAGAGAUGCUUUGGUGCCUUCGGGAACUCUGAGACAGGUGCUGCAUGGCUGUCGUCAGCUCGUGUUGUGAAAUGUUGGGUUAAGUCCCGCAACGAGCGCAACCCUUAUCCUUUGUUGCCAGCGGUUCGGCCGGGAACUCAAAGGAGACUGCCAGUGAUAAACCGGAGGAAGGUGGGGAUGACGUCAAGUCAUCAUGGCCCUUACGAGUAGGGCUACACACGUGCUACAAUGGCAUAUACAAAGAGAAGCGAACUCGCGAGAGCAAGCGGACCUCAUAAAGUAUGUCGUAGUCCGGAUUGGAGUCUGCAACUCGACUCCAUGAAGUCGGAAUCGCUAGUAAUCGUAGAUCAGAAUGCUACGGUGAAUACGUUCCCGGGCCUUGUACACACCGCCCGUCACACCAUGGGAGUGGGUUGCAAAAGAAGUAGGUAGCUUAACCUUCGGGAGGGCGCUUACCACUUUGUGAUUCAUGACUGGGGUGAAGUCGUAACAAGGUAACC
rnacentral:rRNA from 1 species